GGGCCGUACCUCUACUGAAGCGGGCAGGAAAAUGGCAAUACGGAAAGGGACCUUUCUUGGGGCUGAGGACAAGCAAAACUUCCGGGUUUGAUUCACACCUCGCUUCUUUUUUCGGCUGCCCCCUAAUGGCAUGGAGGGAGGAAUCCUUGUGGAGAAGAGGGCCACCUUUCUCAUCAUCAUGGUAACAAUUACUGACCAACUGCUACAAUCAGAUAACCUCUGAGAAUGGCAACAACUUUCAGAUCACUGCUCCUAUUUGAAACCCAGCUCUGAUAGUCAUCAUCUGAGGAAGCAUUUCUCAUGGUGAAGGAUCCAGUCAUCUCUUGAAUCUGCCAACUAACUGCUAACACAGAGCAGGUGGCUUGGAUUCUUUGGCUCCCAGGAGACAGCAAGCCAGAGGCCCUCUCCUUUCAUAGAAAAUGUCUAGGAUGCAUUGAACAACAAUCUGGACCUAAGAUCAUGAGUUGGAGAGCAGGGAUAGAUGGGCUCUUCCACCUGACACAGCACAGGAAGGUGAGGUGGAAAAGGAAGUGCAUGGGAUUUCUCCUUCAUGACAGCUCACAGGGUCUGUCAG